CCACCCGUAGCUCAGACCAGCAGAGCACCGGCAGAUGACGGAUGUCGCCGGUUCAAGUCCGGCCGGGUGGC
rnacentral:tRNA from 1 species